rnacentral:misc_RNA from 1 species
CUUUAUUAAUUUCUUAUAUAUAAUUUAUAUUAAAUAUAAAAAUAUAUUUUUUAAAUAAAAAGACGAUAAGACCCUAUUAAAUUUUACUUAUAGUUUAACUGGGGAAGUUUUAAAAAUAAAAUUUUUUAUAAAAAUAAAAAUAAAUCUAAUAAAAUUAAAAUUAAAUUAAAUUACUAUAGGGAUAACAGCAUUAUAUUUUUUAAAAGUUCAUAUUAAAAAAAAUGAUUGUGACCUCGAUGUUGAAUUAUAUUUUCUUUAUUAAUGCAAUAAUUAUAAAAGUAGAUCUGUUCGAUCUUUAAAAUAUUACAUGAUUUGAGUUCAAACCGGWGUAAACCAGGKKGGUUUCUAUCUUUUUAUAAAUUCAUAUAUAUAUAUAUAUAUAUAUACAUAUAAAUUUUUCAAGUACGAAAGGAAAAAAAAAUUUUUAUUUUAAUUAAUUAGCAAUUAAUAUGCAUUAGAUUUAGAAUCUAAAUAAACUAUU